rnacentral:lncRNA from 1 species
UGGAAAUUUAGCUUAUCACAUUGUCCUUUAAAUAUCUUCUCUUGCAAGGAAAUUAUUCGCACACUGAAUCUUAUGCGGACAAUUAUAAUCAUUAAUGAAAAGAAAUUAGGACUAUUAGCAUUCUGGAAAAGAUUUUCCUAGAACUCAAGGACCUUGUUCUUGUAGCUCUGAGCAAUAUAAUGAUUCCUUCAAACACGCAGAAUAACUUGCGCCUAUUUUUUCCUGUGUGGCUUUACACCGCUUUUCAACAGGAGUUACUAAACGGUGGAAUAUUCCAGUACUCACUACAGGUCGCUAAACCUUUUGUGGAGUCAGCCGUUAGAAAAGAUAGAGUUUAAUCAGCUGGGCUCAGAUUCUCCUAAAAAAGAAGAAUGAAAGAAUUUUGGAGAUAUGUGAUUCGAGAAUUCUGAUGGAAGCAUAACAUGUUUCAGCAGUCAUACGGCCAACAUAUGUGUCUGUUCAACACAUAGUUCAACAUAAUGAACAGAUCAGGCUAAUAAAACUUUCUAAUAAAAGUGAUAGGUUAGAUUGCCGCAUGGUAAAGCAUUCGCUUACCAUUUUGGAGGUUGCAAGUUCAAAUCCGAGUCCCAUCCCACAACACCAAGUUUUUCAGAAGUCCAGACUCGGAGGUUAAAUCUCAUGCUUCAGCAUUCCGGUUGAUCCCAUGAUGGGUAAUGAACUCUAAAGGUGGCAACCACUAGGUAUAGAAUAUCCCAAAUGGUCAGCUGAAUGGGCAUGAUGGAAGCAUGCUGUUUCCACUCUGGAGGAUCAACGUUCAGUUCUCGAAUCUCACACUUCCAGAUUUUUUCAGGAGGGUCCAGCCUUGGACCGUUGAAUCUCAUUUUCUACCUGACGCUGACCCCUUCAGGAAUAUGGGUUUCCCGUGGUGGAAAUUGGAAUGCCUCGCUGUUUAGUACCUAUACGGUGGGAAGCAGCGUAAAACGUCGGCCGGAUUGGCCGCAUGGAAACACUUCGGCUUUCCACUCUGGCUUUCUCCGGAUUCGCAUCUCGGGUCCCACCCCUUG